AGAUUGAACGCUGGCGGAAUGCUGUACACAUGCAUGUCGAACGGCAGCACGGGGGUAACCCUGGUGGCGAGUGGCGAACGGGUGAGUAAUACAUCGGAACGUGCCCAGUCGUGGGGGAUAACGUAGCGAAAGCUACGCUAAUACCGCAUACGAACUCUGGUUGAAAGCGGGGGACUCGCAAGAGCCUCGCGCGAUUGGAGCGGCCGAUGGCAGAUUAGGUAGUUGGUGGGGUAAAGGCUCACCAAGCCUGCGAUCUGUAGCUGGUCUGAGAGGACGACCAGCCACACUGGGACUGAGACACGGCCCAGACUCCUACGGGAGCAGCAGUGGGGAAUUUGGACAAUGGGCGCAAGCCUG
rnacentral:rRNA from 1 species